rnacentral:tRNA from 1 species
GCGCGGGUGGCGGAAUCGGUAGACGCGCUACCUUGAGGGGGUAGUGGGAUUAAUUCCCGUGGAGGUUCGAGUCCUCUCUCGCGCACUA